GAGAAGCUUCGACUAAGGUUCGAUUCGAGCGAAAGCGAGAAAGCGUUGCCGCAGGCAACGACCCGAAGGGCGAAGCGCGCAGCGCUGAGUCAUCCUUCCCCCACCACCA
rnacentral:sRNA from 2 species